GCUACGGGCGGCAGCAGUGGGGAAUAUUGGACAAUGGGGGGAACCCUGAUCCAGCCAUGCCGCGUGUGUGAAGAAGGCCCUCGGGUUGUAAAGCACUUUCAGUGAGGAAGAACGCCUGGUGGUUAAUACCCAUCAGGAAAGACAUCACUCACAGAAGAAGCACCGGCUAACUCCGUGCCAGCAGCCGCGGUAAUACGGAGGGUGCGAGCGUUAAUCGGAAUUACUGGGCGUAAAGCGCGCGUAGGUGGCUUGAUAAGCCGGUUGUGAAAGCCCCGGGCUCAACCUGGGAACGGCAUCCGGAACUGUCAAGCUAGAGUGCAGGAGAGGAAGGUAGAAUUCCCGGUGUAGCGGUGAAAUGCGUAGAGAUCGGGAGGAAUACCAGUGGCGAAGGCGGCCUUCUGGACUGACACUGACACUGAGGUGCGAAAGCGUGGGUAGCAAACAGGAUUAGAUACCCUGGUAGUC
rnacentral:rRNA from 1 species